UUCUGGAUUCCGCUACUAAUACAAUGUAUGAACGAUCUUGGAACACACCGGGCUGAACACUAUCAAUAUAUGUUCCUGGUACGAUUCACCUGAACUUAUUAAGAAAAUCUUAGGGAAAUUGGAAAACACGGAAGAUAUUAAACAUAUUGUAAUUAUAUUACAUAAGGGUUAAUUAGAGAUUACUAGCCUAAGUUCUGUAUGCCCUUAGACAUUUUCACACUUACUUUUAUAUAUCUAUAUAAUACUAUCUAGUAUAUAGUUCAAAAUGUCACGAGUAGGAAAUGUCAUAUUGACAACUGGAAUUCAGGUAUGAUAAUUAGCUUCUGCUCAUCGUGUGACAUUUCCAUAGUACUGAUAGUAAAAUUUUGACAUCAGUCGUAUUUGAUGGUACUUAUUUUAUUAUAUAAAAUAAGAUGUUGAAUGGACAUUUUAUCAUUUAUCAGGUUUUCAUAAAAAAAUACGUCAAUUUCAAUUUGUUCUUUUAUAGUUUUAGUUAUCUAAUGUACGGAUGAUUUC
rnacentral:lncRNA from 1 species